UACGUAGGGGGCGAGCGUUGUCCGGAUUUAUUGGGCGUAAAGAGCGUGUAGGCGGCCAGGUAGGUCCGUUGUGAAAACUCGAGGCUCAACCUCGAGACGUCGAUGGAAACCAUCUGGCUAGAGUCCGGAAGAGGAGAGUGGAAUUCCUGGUGUAGCGGUGAAAUGCGCAGAUAUCAGGAAGAACACCUAUGGCGAAGGCGGUUCUCUGGGACGGUACUGACGCUGAGACGCGAAAGCGUGGGGAGCGAACAGG
rnacentral:rRNA from 1 species